AUGAACGCUGGCGGCGUGCCUAAUACAUGCAAGUCGAGCGAACAGACGAGGAGCUUGCUCCUCUGACGUUAGCGGCGGACGGGUGAGUAACACGUGGAUAACCUACCUAUAAGACUGGGAUAACUUCGGGAAACCGGAGCUAAUACCGGAUAAUAUAUUGAACCGCAUGGUUCAAUAGUGAAAGACGGUUUUGCUGCCACUUAUAGAUGGAUCCGCGCCGCAUUAGCUAGUUGGUAAGGUAACGGCUUACCAAGGCAACGAUGCGUAGCCGACCUGAGAGGGUGAUCGGCCAGACUGGAACUGAGACACGGUCCAGACUCCUACGGGAGGCAGCAGUAGGGAAUCUUCCGCAAUGGGCGAAAGCCUGACGGAGCAACGCCGCGUGAGUGAUGAAGGUCUUCGGAUCGUAAAACUCUGUUAUUAGGGAAGAACAAAUGUGUAAGUAACUAUGCACGUCUUGACGGUACCUAAUCAGAAAGCCACGGCUAACUACGUG
rnacentral:rRNA from 1 species